rnacentral:lncRNA from 1 species
GCAGCAUAUGGAGGUUCCCAGGCUAGGGGUCAAAUCGGACCUGUAGCCCCCUGCCUACACCAGAGCCACAGCAACGCGGGAUCUGAGCCGCGUCUGUGACCUACACCACAGCUCACGGCAAUGCCGGAUCCUUAACCCACUGAGCAAGGGCAGGGAUCGAACCCGCAACCUCAUGGUUCCUGGUCGGAUAGGUUAACCACUGUACCAUGACGACGGGAACUCCUGUCACAUUUUUAAUUAAUUCCAUCAAAUGUCUCCUAAUCAGAAGCAUUCUACCCAGAUUCUUCACCUCUAACAACAUUCCCCCAAUAACAGCCCCACACAGAACUAUGCCUCACUACCUAAAAUGAACAUCCCUCCUUAUAACCGUCAUGAGCUUUCUUCUAGCAUUUUAUGACUAUGAAGAAAAUUAUGACAAAGGCAUGGGCUGUGACAAUUACAUGACAAAUCUGAGCAUCACUGAGCAAGGGCCCAGGCUGACCAAGUUCAGCACGAAUUAGGAGGCUCAGAGCGGUGCCUACUCUUCUGGCCCAGGUACCAAAUAGUGACCGGAUCGGGAGAUAGAGAAUGUUAUUCCUUGUCUAUUCUUUUCAAGUUCAGCUCAGGCUGAUACUAAAAUCCUCCCUGGGUGCGUCUGCAGGUGAAUAGAUAAAUGAAAGGUGGUCCAUCUUCCACAAUGGGUGAAAAGGAAUGAAGCACUUCCUCAAAAAACUCAAAACAGAACUGCUGUAGGAUGCCGCAGCUCCACUCCUGCGUAUCUAUCUGAAGAAAACGAACACACUAAUUUGAAAAGACACGUGUAUCCUGAAGUUCACAGCCACAGUAUUUACAAUGCCAGGAUAUGGACACGCCCUAAGUGUCCAUCCACAGAUGCUUGGAUAAGAUCUGGGUGCACAGACACACUCGACAUAAAGUAUUCCGCCACAAAAAGAUGAAAACUUGCCAUUUGCAGCAACAUGGGUAGAUGUAGAGGGUGGUUUGUUUAGUGAAGUAAGUCAGGCAGAGGAAGAUAAAUACUGUAUGCAAUCACUUACACAUGGAAUCUAAAAGUUAAAACAAAUCCGUGAACAUACAAACAAAACUGACUCAGAUAUAGAGAGCAAACUAGUGGUUAGCAGUGGGGAGAGGGAAGGGGGGGCAAGAUUAGGGGAGGGGAUUAGGAGACAGACUACCAUGGAUAAAAUGAGCCGUAAGGACAUAUUGUUCAGCACAGGGAAUAUAGCCAAUAUUUUAUAAUAACUACAAAAUGGAAUAUAAAUUUUAAAACUGUAACUCACUAUGUUGUAUACCUGAAACAUAAAAUAUGGUACAUCAGGUAUAUCUCAAUUUAAAAAAUGAUAUUCUAAGAGUUCCCAUUGUGGCGCAGUGGAAACGAAUCCAACUAGGAACCAUGAGGUUGCGGGUUCGAUCCCCAGCCUUGCUCAUUGGGUUAAGGACCUGGCAUUGCCGUGAGCUGUGGUGUAGGUUGCAGAUGCAGCUCAAAUCCUGCGUUGCUAGGCCAGCAACUGUAGCUCCAAUUCAACACCAAGCCCAGGAACCUCUAUAUGCCAUGAGUGCAGCCCUAAAAAGCAAAAAAAAAAAUUAAUUUAAAAAAUGACAUUCUAAUUGAGUCUACAGCAUAGACGAACACUGAAGACAUUAUGCUACGUAAAAGAGAACACCACAAAAGGCCAAAAGUGGAAUUUGUAAUUCCACUUAUAUGAAAUGCCCAGAAUAGGCAGAUCUGGAAAGAAGACUAGUGGUUUCCAAGGGCUGAGAGACAGAUUAACUCCUAUUGGGUGUGGGGUUUCUUUCGGGGGUGAUGAAAUGCUCUAGAAUGAGAUAGUGGCGAUGAUCACAUAGCUCUGAAUAUUCUAAAACUUCUGAAUUGCACAUUAUUAAAAGCCACCAUAAAAGAGGUCCAGGUACGUACUGAGACACCAGGAAGAGGAUGCUUUGGUGAACACCCCCACCUGGCUGGUGUCCUCGGAUGUCUUGAUUCUAAGACAGAGGAGGUUGAGAAGACCCCCACCCAUGCCCGACAAACACCACACUCAUUAGAAUGGAAACCCUGUGAGUGGGUGGACUUGCCAGUUGAUCGCUGUUGAGACCCUGCUGCCUAGAACCCACCCCAUCACACACACGUUGCAGACACUCGGUGGAUACUUGCUGAAUCAACAAAUGAAUAGAUGAAUGAAACCGCACAUCUGGGGCCUGGAGUGUAUCCAGGGAAUGACCUCCAUGUGUCAGUUAGUUUGGGCUGCGGUGGGGCUGCCGAGUGUCCAGGUGACCGCACACGGUCACCCGCAGUAACUGAGGUCUGGCCGCAGACAAGCAGGCUGAGCCCAGGCUGUCCGUGUCUUUCCCUCUCUCACCACUAGAGGGCAGGUGCAUCCCAUGGAUUCCGCCAAAGGGGUCGGCUCGGCUCCCUCGCCAAAGGCACCUCGGGCAACCAGGCGGGAACAGACCAGAUCAGGGCUCUGCCAAGAUCCCUUCUAACUCAGAGGUGCCAGGUGGAGAAAGGCCUGUGGCCUCUCUCUGGUUGUGAAGGGUGAAACAGGAGCUCAGGUCCUCUGCUGCCUCUGCUGUGGGGAUCCCCAGAUUAAGGGCUCCCAGCCUCUCUGUGUUCUGAACCAGGCCACCUUCUGGGGAGACAAGCUUGGGGGUGCGCCUUCCCGCACCCUCUCCCUGAAGUGAAGAGGCCAGGAAACUGCUGACAGGAAGAAGCAGAUCUGAGGAGUUGGGGGGGAAGGGGAUCUGGGGGUGGGGGGUUGCCCAAGGCUAUGUUUGGGAUAAAGGUCAGUCAUGGCCAGGCUGUCCUGGGGGCUUGGAAAUAUGCCUCAUCUCAGAUGAUCUUCAAGGUCCUUCAGGAGGUGGGAAUUAUUCCAAGUUUGCCGAUGAAGAGACUGAGGGUCAGAGUGGUUAGCUUGCCCAAGACCCUAAACUGCAUACCUGGGGAGUUCCCGUCGUGGCGCAGUGGUUAACGAAUCCGACUAGGAACCAUGAGGUUGCGGGUUUGGUCCCUGCCCUUGCUCAGUGGGUUAAGGAUCCGGCGUUGCUGUGAGCUGUGGUGUAGGUUGCNAUCUUGCCCAAGACCCUAAAUUGCAUGCCUGGGAUGUGACUGAGUAGGGACUCAAACCCAGGAGUGGCCUGGCUUCAGAGUUCCUAUUGUUCCUACUGAUUCCCCCUCGAGAUGGCCAAACAUGAGUAGACCAGGGCUUUGAUGAAGGUGCGAACUCUGGCUGCUGCAUUCUGUUACUUGAGUCAGAGAAGUGGGGCCGCGACUCGGAUCCAUCUCCUGAUUCCCAGGGCACCACACAGGUACUUCCGGUGGCAUUUCCUCCUCUGUAGAGCUGGUGGCGGUGACCUCCACUGCCCUCCACCCUGCUCUCCGAGAGGCAAAUGAACCCGUUCUGCUCAGGCCAGACAUGGAAAGGAAAGAAGGCUGUAGGCCUGAGACAGCAUGCAAACCCCCUCCUUUCAAAGGCAUUUGUGAGGAUUUGUACGUUUCUAAGGCAGAUUCCAGGCCUUUUCCUUUUUUCCUGUCCUUCUCAGCCACUCAUUUAUUUGGAUUCAAGGCAACAGCAGGGAACCGUGCUCCUUAGGGGACCAUGCAGAGUGCCUUGGGGAGUAGCAUCCUGGGGGGAGCAGCAUCCUAGGGGGAGCAGCAUCCUGGGGGGAGCAGCAUCGGUGGGAUGUGAGUUUUGGUAGCUCUGAGACCACCUCUAAGUCCCAGUGAGGCUCUGCCAGACCAGGGUCUCAAGCCCUCAAAGCCCAGGUUCCUUGGAAGAGAGGAUGGCUGGGCAUCUGGACCCAUGGUCUCACUCCUCUGCCGCUGCCCCUAGGGCUGGCAGCUGGGUCCCCAGGACACAGGGGGCAAUAGGGCUGCACAUCCCUGCCUGGCCCCUUCUGCCAGACACUCACCCUGGGCCAGACUGGAUGAAACAUUGGGGCGACGGGCCCCUCCCUCCCGAGUCACAGCCCCAUCUCUCUGCUGGCCGCGUAUGCUCUGACAUAAUCAUGCCUCCUACUCCUACUGCAAGGAACACUUUGCAGGUGGACGUUACUUUUUCCCAGGCACCCAAAUGCCCCAAAAGUUCUCCUCACUCCUGCCAUCGGGACACAGCACCAGGCUCCCUGAUUACUCAGAUACCCCGCCUCCUGGGGCUGCACCUCCCUCCCGAGCUAACAGUGAACGGAGUCCACUGCUGGGAGCAAAGGUGUGUUCAGGAUGGGGAAGUGCCUGGUAUCUAGUGGGGUGGGGACCUUCCUCCUCUGACCUCUUUAAGGGGAACAGGAGGACUCUGCCCCCAAGAGAGGCGAGGCGGGAGAGGAGGGGGACCGGUGGGAGCAGGUGGAAGGGGGCUGCAUGAAGGCGCAGCUGCAGCCACAGGGCCAGCAAUCCGGCCACACAGGGCUCAGCCCAUCCUCCUCACCCUUAGAGACUCUGGUGGUCCAGUGGGUCUGUGUCCUCCCCUGGAUGGGGCACUAGGAUGCCCCUUCAGGCCCUGCUGCCACGACCGAGCACAGGGGUCAGUGACAGCAAGGACCUGCCCAACCACUUGCCAGCUUUCUCCCUACGACGCACCUGUGCACAGUUAACACACACGACACAGACGGCAGGGGGUGGCACCUGCUGCACUUCCUACAGAGAGAGUCAGGAGCAAAGCGCUUGCAGUGAGUACAGAAAGACAUGAGCUGGGUCUCCAGGUCAUUCAGUAAAACUCAGUGACACCAUGGGCUUUAGGAAGAGGAGACCCAGGACUUGAGAUGCUGGCCUAAAGCCACAAAGUUUUUUCUUGUUCUAGGAUGCGAGCUCGGCUUUCCAGACACUGUCCAGUGGAAGAAUGAUUAUACUUUAAGGAUGCUGUAACCCCGUGUUUUUCAAACUGCAAGUAAAGACCUCUAGAGAGCCAUGAAAGCAAUUUAGUGGGAUGCGUAAUUUUUAAAAUAAAAUCAGAACAGAAAGAAAUCAAAUAGAAUAGAAUUAGAAGUCAAUAAAGUUUAAUUUCCCCAAAUAUUUGUUUCAUGUGUGUAUAUGUCUUUUUAUACACACAUGUGUGCGUGUGUGUAUUCACUGCAUAUGAGGUAAAAUUUUUUUUUUUUUUCGUACGGGUUGGCAUCAAAGAAAGUUUAACAUUUACUGGUUUAUGUUCCCGCUGUGGGGCAGCAGGUUAAGGAUCUGGCAUUGUCUCUAAGGUGGUGUGGGUUUGAACACCGGCCUGGUGCAGUGGGUUAAGGAUUCAGUGUUGCCACAGUGGCUCAGAUUCGAUCCCUGGCCCAGGACCUUCCGUAUGCCACAGGUGCAGACAUUAAAAAAGUAAUAAUAGAAGUUCCCAUCGUGGCUCAGUGGUU